ACACACUGCAUGAAAAGUGAGAUUUUCGUCCCCGUAAACGCCCGGAAAUCUCCCUAAUUUCCGACAAUUUCCGACAAUUUGCAACCCGCGCACGUCGCGUUUGUCUGUGCCACAAAUUGUCGGAAACGAACCAUGACGUAUGUGGAGAGCUGGCGGAGGUGCGAAUGGCCCGAAUUAGCAUAUGAAUGCAGCGAAACCGCGGGUGGCCGAGCCGAGCGGGCUUGAAUAUCCUUACUCCUUAUUGGAUGAAACCACAACUUACUAACAAAUAAAAUCACUCGUGAUUGGCAGCAAAACCACACGUGGGCAGACCAGGCUGGAGUUUCCUUGUUCACGAUUGGAUGAAAACACAACUUUCAAUCACUCGUGAUUGGUUGGCAGAUCUGUCGCUAUUGGUCACCCGCCUCAUUUUAUUUAUAUAUUCAUAUUAUGCUGUAUAUUCAUUUCAUGGUUAUCCUAUGUAGGCUACUACACUAUUAUUAGGAUACCAACCAGGACAUCAAUGAAUUUAUAGAGAAAAUGAAAAUUUGCCACAUGUUUAUGCAAAGAAAGAGCUUUAUUAACAACACACAAACAACAACUACAUACAAAGUGAGGAUCUGCCCACACUUGGGUAACGGCGGUUUAAAAACUACAGCUCAGUAAACUGUCCGUUUGCCUCCUCGGGGUUGUUGACCGUCACUGGCGCCGUGUUUUCCGAGGCAGGUCUGUUGUGCAGGCGCCUCGUGUGCGGGUGGCGACCGUACGAUCCACCCGAGACCCCGCCAACAACGCCGUCCCCUCCGCCCGACGUGAGCUCCACGGUGGCGGAUUUCCAGAGUUCCACCUCGUCAUCAGCCAGCACUUUGUCUCGAUUCCAGCAGCUGUAAAAACAACAAUGAAUCAGUACUGUGCGAUGCGAUGCAUACGGACACAACACAUCGAUCAAUGCACCUGAAACAAGUCAACAAAUAAACUCUGACCCUCUUUCUUCUCGCUCGACUCCGCGCUGAAUCCUUCGCAGCUUCCGCUCGCAAUGAGUGUCCGGCUGAACCUGAAGCUCCUGCGUCCCGUCUCACAAUACGUCUCACAGGCGGCUGGAAAACAAUUAAAUGAGUGUGGUAUGAAUACAAAAAAAACAAACGCAAGUCACAGUAACAUUUAACAAGGAAGGAGAAACAGUAAACGGUGUAACUUACACACAAUGACGUCUAAAUCUGGACUUUUCCCGGAGCAAAUACGAGGUCACCGCCUCAUUAUGAGGCGAGAUUAGUCUGUGAAAACAAAAUGUACAGUUAUGAUCGGUAUCCAUACGUAUAUAUUUCCUUAUAGCGCAGAAUGAAAGCAUAUUCUGUAAAUCUGACCCUUUCUCCGGUUCGUAGCGCCUGUAGUUCGUCUCGGAGUUGUGAAGACGGCGCGCCGCUUCCUGUAAACGACACGGCAAAGAAAACACACUUUAAUAAAGCUGUUUCUGCUCACUUGUAAGGCUACUCGGCUACUCUUAGCUUAGCUUGAGGCUACGCUACUUUUAGCUUAGCUUGCAGUCAUCGAACGUAUUCUUACCGCUAUCUUGGGAUCGUGCGCCCGUCUCCUCUUCUUUGAGUCGGUUCCUCUCCUCCGUGGACAGAAACCCGCAGAAUCCCGAACGCUCCAGUGGAGCGAACCGCUCGUUGAUAUCGGCAGUUUGUUGUUGGAG
ensembl:lncRNA